GCCUUUGUGGUGUAGUGGUAGCACGCGUCCUCAGUAAGAGAGAAAGGCGGGUUCGACUCCUGUCUGAGGUA